rnacentral:rRNA from 1 species
GUCGUCCUACGGGGGGCAGCAGUAGGGAAUAUUGCUCAAUGGGGGAAACCCUGAAGCAGCAACGCCGCGUGGAGGAUGAAGGGUUUCGGAUUGUAAACUCCUUUUGUUAGAGAAGAUAAUGACGGUAUCUAACGAAUAAGCACCGGCUAACUCCGUGCUAGCAGCCGCGGUAAUACGGAGGGUGCAAGCGUUACUCGGAAUCACUGAGCGUAAAGAGCGCAUAGGCGGGAUAGCAGGUCAGAUGUGAAAUCCUAUGGCUUAACCAUAGAACUGCAUUUGAAACUGUU